UACGUAGGGUGCAAGCGUUGUCCGGAAUUAUUGGGCGUAAAGAGCUCGUAGGCGGUUUGUUGCGUCGGCUGUGAAAACCCGAGGCUCAACCUCGGGCCUGCAGCCGAUACGGGCAGACUAGAGUUCGGCAGGGGAGACUGGAAUUCCUGGUGUAGCGGUGAAAUGCGCAGAUAUCAGGAGGAACACCGGUGGCGAAGGCGGGUCUCUGGGCCGAUACUGACGCUGAGGAGCGAAAGCGUGGGGAGCGAACAGG
rnacentral:rRNA from 1 species